rnacentral:tRNA from 1 species
CAGAAAGUAAUUUAAAUAAAAUAUUAGCAUUGGAAGCUAGAAAUUAAGUGUAUACUUACUUUUUGA